rnacentral:rRNA from 1 species
GGGGAAUAUUGCACAAUGGGGGAAACCCUGAUGCAGCGACGCCGCGUGGAGGAAGAAGGUCUUCGGAUUGUAAACUCCUGUUGUUGGGGAAGAUAAUGACGGUACCCAACAAGGAAGUGACGGCUAACUACGUGCCAGCAGCCGCGGUAAAACGUAGGUCACAAGCGUUGUCCGGAAUUACUGGGUGUAAAGGGAGCGCAGGCGGGAAGACAAGUUGGAAGUGAAAUCCAUGGGCUCAACCCAUGAACUGCUUUCAAAACUGUUUUUCUUGAGUAGUGCAGAGGUAGGCGGAAUUCCCGGUGUAGCGGUGGAAUGCGUAGAUAUCGGGAGGAACACCAGUGGCGAAGGCGGCCUACUGGGCACCAACUGACGCUGAGGCUCGAAAGUGUGGGUAGCAAACAGGAUUAGAUACCCUGGUAGUCCACACCGUAAACGAUGAUUACUAGGUGUUGGAGGAUUGACCCCUUCAGUGCCGCAGUUAACACAAUAAGUAAUCCACCUGGGGAGUACGACCGCAAGGUUGAAACUCAAAGGAAUUGACGGGGGCCCGCACAAGCAGUGGAGUAUGUGGUUUAAUUCGACGCAACGCGAAGAACCUUACCAAGUCUUGACAUCCCUUGACGAACAUAGAAAUAUGUUUUCUCUUCGGAGCAAGGAGACAGGUGGUGCAUGGUUGUCGUCAGCUCGUGUCGUGAGAUGUUGGGUUAAGUCCCGCAACGAGCGCAACCCUUAUGGUCAGUUACUACGCAAGAGGACUCUGGCCAGACUGCCGUUGACAAAACGGAGGAAGGUGGGGAUGACGUCAAAUCAUCAUGCCCUUUAUGACUUGGGCUACACACGUACUACAAUGGCGUUAAACAAAGAGAAGCAAGACCGCGAGGUGGAGCAAAACUCAGAAACAACGUCCCAGUUCGGACUGCAGGCUGCAACUCGCCUGCACGAAGUCGGAAUUGCUAGUAAUCGUGGAUCAGCAUGCCACGGUGAAUACGUUCCCG